rnacentral:rRNA from 1 species
GCGAACGGCUCAUUAUAACAGCUAUAAUUUACUUGAUCUUGACAAUUUACUUGGAUAACUGUGGUAAUUCUAGAGCUAAUACAUGCACCAAAGCUCCAACCGUAAGGAAAGAGCGCAUUUAUUAGAACAAAACCAAGCGGCUUCGGCCGUCCAGUGCUGACUCAGAAUAACUAAGCUGAUCGCAUGGUCUUGUACCGGCGACGUGUCUUUCAAGUAUCUGCCUUAUCAACUUUCGAUGGUAGUGUAUCUGACUACCAUGGUAGUGACGGGUAACGGAGGAUAAGGGUUCGACUCCGGAGAAGGGGCCUGAGAAAUGGCCACUACGUCUAAGGAUGGCAGCAGGCGCGCAAAUUACCCACUCUCAGAACGAGGAGGUAGUGACGAGAAAUAACAAGACCGUUCUCAUAAGAGGCCGGUCAUUGGAAUGGGUACAAUCUAAACCCUUUAACGAGUAUCUAUGAGAGGGCAAGUCUGGUGCCAGCAGCCGCGGUAAUUCCAGCUCUCAAAAUGCAUAGAAUUAUUGCUGCGGUUAAAAAGCUCGUAGUUGGAUCUGUGCUUGCCCCCCGGUCUACCUUCGGGUACGCACUGGUGGGGUAGGCUUUCCUGUACUUUUAAGGUAGUUGCCCUUAACUGGGUGCUACUCUUAGGUACAAGUUUACUUUGAACAAAUCAGAGUGCUUCAAACAGGCGUUUCGCUUGAAUGUUCGUGCAUGGAAUAAUAGAAGAGGAUUUCGGUUCUAUUUUAUUGGUUUUAUAGACUGAGAUAAUGGUUAACAGAGACAAACGGGGGCAUUCGUAUCGCUGCGUGAGAGGUGAAAUUCUUGGACCGUAGCGAGACGAACUACAGCGAAAGCAUUUGCCAAGAAUGUCUUCAUUAAUCAAGAACGAAAGUCAGAGGUUCGAAGGCGAUCAGAUACCGCCCUAGUUCUGACCGUAAACGAUGCCAACUAGCGAUCCGCCGGUGGAAUCUUUGCCCUGGUGGGGAGCUUCCCGGAAACGAAAGUCUUCCGGUUCCGGGGGAAGUAUGGUUGCAAAGCUGAAACUUAAAGGAAUUGACGGAAGGGCACCACCAGGAGUGGAGCCUGCGGCUUAAUUUGACUCAACACGGGGAAACUCACCCGGCCCGGACACCGUAAGGAUUGACAGAUUGAUAGCUUUUUCAUGAUUCGGUGGAUGGUGGUGCAUGGCCGUUCUUAGUUCGUGGAGCGAUUUGUCUGGUUUAUUCCGAUAACGAGCGAGACUCUAGCCUACUAACUAGUUUGCACAUUGCCUCUGUGUGCGAUACUUCUUAGAGGGAUUUUCGGUGUACAGCCGCACGAAAUUGAGCAAUAACAGGUCUGUGAUGCCCUUAGAUGUCCGGGGCUGCACGCGCGCUACACUGGCAAAAUCAGCGUGCUUGUCCUUCCCCGAAAGGGGUUGGUAAACCCUUGAAAAUUUGCCGUGAUUGGGAUUGGAAAUUGCAAUUAUUUUCCGUGAACGAGGAAUUCCAAGUAAGUGCGAGUCAUCAACUCGCGUUGAUUACGUCCCUGCCCUUUGUACACACCGCCCGUCGCUGCCCGGGACUGUGGCAUUUAGAGAAACUCGAGGACCGUUGAUUGGGCGUUUCGGCGCCCUUUUGGUGGGAAUUGAUUUAAUCUC